rnacentral:rRNA from 1 species
GCAUAACGCGAAGAACCUUACCUACUCUUGACAUCCAGAGAACUUUCCAGAGAUGGAUUGGUGCCUUCGGGAACUCUGAGACAGGUGCUGCAUGGCUGUCGUCAGCUCGUGUUGUGAGAUGUUGGGUUAAGUCCCGUAACGAGCGCAACCCUUGUCCUUAGUUACCAGCACGUCGUGGUGGGCACUCUAAGGAGACUGCCGGUGACAAACCGGAGGAAGGUGGGGAUGACGUCAAGUCAUCAUGGCCCUUACGGCCUGGGCUACACACGUGCUACAAUGGUCGGUACAGAGGGUUGCCAAGCCGCGAGGUGGAGCUAAUCUCACAAAACCGAUCGUAGUCCGGAUCGCAGUCUGCAACUCGACUGCGUGAAGUCGGAAUCGCUAGUAAUCGCGAAUCAGAAUGUCGCGGUGAAUACGUUCCCGGGUCUUGUACACACCG